rnacentral:rRNA from 1 species
AGCGAACGCUAGCGGCGGGCUUAACACAUGCAAGUCGAGCGCCUUUCUUCGGAAAGGAGCGGCGAACGGGUGAGUAACACGUAGGUUAUCUGCCUCUAGGUGAGGGACAACCGAGGGAAACUUCGGCUAAUACCACAUAUGGACUUCGGUUCAAAGGCUUCGGCCGCCUGGAGAUGAGCCUGCGUCCCAUUAUUUAGUCCUUGUUGGUGGGGUAAUGGCCUACCAAGGGUACGAUGGGUAGCUGGUCUGAGAGGAUGAUCAGCCACACUGGGACUGAGACACGGCCCAG